rnacentral:rRNA from 1 species
GACGAACGCUGGCGGCGCGCCUAACACAUGCAAGUCGAACGGAGUCAAGAGGAGCUUGCUUUUCUUGACUUAGUGGCGAACGGGUGAGUAACGCGUGAGUAACCUGCCCUGGAGCGGGGGACAACAAUUGGAAACGAUUGCUAAUACCGCAUAACCCCAAGGAUCCGCAUGGAUUUGCGGGAAAAGGAUUUUUUCGCUUCAGGAUGGACUCGCGUCCACUUAGCUAGUUGGUGAGGUAACGGCCCACCAAGGCGACGAUGGGUAGCCGGACUGGGAAGGUGAACGGCCACAUUGGGACUGAGACACGGCCCAGACUCCUACGGGAGGCAGCAGUGGGGGAUAUUGCACGAUGGGGGAAACCCUGAUGCAGCGACGCCGCGUGGAGGAAGAAGGUUUUCGGAUUGUAAACUCCUGUCGUAAGGGACGAUAAUGACGGUACCUAACAAGAAAGCACCGGCUAACUACGUG